rnacentral:lncRNA from 1 species
AAUAAAGAGCUGCUUUGGAGAAAUCGCUGCGUCGUCUGCUAUGUCUACCCACUAUUCAACAGGUAUGGUUUGCUGCUGGGAUGUCAACCCCGUUAGUAAUUGUGUGGCAGGAUUCUGCACAAUUUGUGGUUUCCAGACCAAGCAACAGGGAGGCCCCACAAAGGGUGCAUUGCAGUAGGCCAGUCCUUAAGUUACACAGAGUGCAGGGAUGGAGACACAGGACUGUAGGCAGCUGCCUUAUCCUGAGUAAGACCAAUGGUAUACAGUGGUGCCUCGCAAGACGAAAAGAAUCCGUUCCGCGAGUCUCUUCGCCUUGCGGGUUUUUUCGUCUUGCGAAGCAAGCCCAUUAGCGGUUUAGCGGAUUAGCGCUACAGUAUUAGCGGGCUUAGCGGAUCAGCUGUUAAGCGGCUUAACGAUCAGCUGAUAAGCGGCUUAACGAUCAGCUGAUAAGCGGCUUAACGAUCAGCUGAUAAGCGGCUUAACGAUCAGCUAUUAAGCGGUUUAGCCAAUCAGCUGAUAAGCGGUUUAGCGGCUUGGGGAAAAGGGGGGGGAGGGAAAAAAACCCGCAGGAACUCGCAAGACAUUUUCGUCUUGCGAAGCAAGCACAUAGGAAAUUCGUUUUGCGAAGCACCUCCAAAACGGAAAACCCUUUUGUCUAGCGGGUUUUCCGUCUUGCGAGGCAUUCGUCUUGCGGGGCACCACUGUAUUCUGCUCAGUACUGUCUACACUGACUGUAGUGGCUCUCCAGAGCACAGGACAUCCCCAAGCAUAUCUGGAGAUGCCAGGAUUUGAACCUGGGACUUUUUGCAUAUAAAGCAGGUGCUCCACCACUGAACGAUGGCUCAGUUCAAAACCUGCUGUAGUUCCCCCCACCCCAUCCUUUCUCCCUCUCCUAGAUUCAUAGUUUGAGUUUUACUUGUUGUCACCCUGAAUGUGUUGUAGCACUAAAUCCUGUACAGAUUUAAAGUGAGACGAUAGGAUGACGUGUUGCACAAACCCCCCAAAUGGGAGCAUCAUUAGUGCCAGGAACCUGUUUGACAAUGGGAUUAAUCCAAGAGCAAGAGACCUCUGUUCGUAUUGCUGCCCAAACUCGUUGCGAAGGAGAUGGGAUGUCAUUUGUGCUUCUGUUUCUAAAGCCUCUCUUUUUCCUUUGCCACACUGGUGCACGUGAAAGAGUUGUCACUCACUGUCACCCAGCUAAUACUAGCCUGUUCUUUCUCUGGAGAAUUGGCUUUUCUGAAGCAAUAUCUUCCCUUUCUCUUUUUCCAUCUUCAGGGGUUGGGGAGCAGUUGUGAAAGAGAACAUUUGGGUUGUCUUCCACUGACUUUCAUUUUUGCAUAUAUUUUGUACAUUCUCCUCUCACUAUGCACAAGCACUUUGCUUAGUUGUUCUCAUUGCUCCACGAUUUUGGGGUUAACAUAUUAUUACUUAUUAACAUAUUGUUAAUUUGUUAGGCUUGUUAGUUUCUUGUUACCCAAAGGUUUCCAGGAGAUUUCAAAACAGUUUAAAACAUAUGUUAUACAGUUAGCAAAUUAUACAUAACAUUAACAAACUCAUACAAAAUGCCUACAAUUCAUGUUCAGUAUAUAUACAAUAUAUUCCUCCUAUAUACAUAAAAGCAGCCCCGAUCCAGCUCCUGUUCCCAUGCAAGCAGCAAUUCUGCCUAGAAAGAGCAGCCCGAUCCCACUCCUACUUGCCUGCAAGCAGGAUCAGGCUGGGGGGUGGCGGCGGUGACAUCCCUUGCCCCCUUGCCUGCUUGCUUGCCCAGCCUUCCCUCACUCAGCGCCUCCGAAGCUGGAGGAGGGGUUGUUGCUGUUGUGGCUGUGGCAGCAGAAGGACCCAGCGUUGGAGAGUGGCAGGUGCCUGCUCACUUGCUGCCCAGCCCACCUUCCAUCACUCUGAAAAUGGAAGUGUGGCAAUCAAAACGGAAGUUAUACUCAGAACAUAGCAUGUUCCGCUUCCGAGAAAAGUUCAAAAACCAGAGCACUCAUUUCCGGGUCUGAAGUGUUCAGGUUCCAAGUAGUUCGAGAACUAAGCUGUUCGAAAACCAAGGUACCACUGUGUUGCUCCACUCUCUUUCUACAUGGAUGCGCCAACCUCCCCUUCUAAACUAAAACCUUAAAUUCAGGUUAAAUUGCCGUGUUGACACUUUGCGAUAAAUAAGUGGGUUUUGGGUUGCAGUUUGGGCACUCAGUCUCUAAAAAGUUUGCCACCACUGGACUAGAUGAUCCUCGGGUCCUUUCCAACUCUACAGUUCUAUGAUUCUGUGUUACCCCGAUGAGCCCCCACAUGUCAAAACCAGCCCAGGCCCUCUUGCUGGUAUUUGAUGCUGCUUCUAUCAGCUGUUGCUCUCCGGGUGGUCAUAUGGUGUGAGGUGGUUGCCUAGGCAUGGAGGCCCUGGACUUCAGCCCCAAGGCUUAGUGAUAGCUGCAAUGCUGUCUGGAGGUGAGGCAGGUGACUGCCUGCAAGUUAGCACAAGAGGAAGCAAAAUGGUGUCCUUCGUGUGUUGGUUGGGCUCCAACUCCCAUCAGCUCCAGCCUGCAUAGCCAAAGGUUGAGAAUAAUGGGAGUUGCAGUCUGGCAACACCUGGAGAACACCAAGUUGCCUCCCCCUGAGAUAGUUGAUCUUUUGAGCAUUGGAACCUCAUCUUUGGAACACUCUCCCCAAUCAAUUUUAGCAAGUAGCACCUCAAGUCCUGAUAUGAAAAGGCAAUUGUAACACAUUGGGCCAGAGAUUUUGGUUAUAAUAUACAAUAUGAUGAAUGGUCAAAAUUAUGGAAUGAAAGACUAAAAUUUACGGCAUGUACUGCGUUAAAGGCAAAUGUGAUGAAAAUGGUAUAUAGAUGGUAUAUAACGCCAGUAAAACUAGCUAAAAUGUACAAAACAUGUAAUAAGUGUUGGAAAUGUAAAGAAAAAGAAGGGACAUUCUAUCAUAUGUGGUGGGAGUGUAAAAAGGUGAGAGGCUUCUGGGAAAUGAUAUAUAAUGAAUUGAAAAAGAUGUUGAAAUAUACGUUUAUUAAGAAACCGGAGGCCUUCUUAUUGGGAUUGGUAGGAAAUGAGAUAAGUAAGAAAGACUGUAAACUUUUUCAAUACGCAGUUACAGCAGCGAGAAUACUUCUAGCCCAAAAAUGGAAACAGGAAGAAUUACCAACGGUGGAAGAAUGGAGACUGAAAUUGACUGAUUAUGCAGAAUUGGACAAACUAACAGGGAAGAUUCGGUAUCAACGAGACCAAAAGUUCAUCAAGGACUGGGGAAGAUUUACAGAUUAUCUGAAAGGCAUAUGUGAUGAACAGAUAACGUUUGUUGGUUUUCAAGAGACUCUGUGAAAAACAGAAGAAUAUUGUUAAAAAGAAAAUAAGAGGAGGGAAGGAGAUAUCUAAAGGCAAUACUAAGUUAAGAAAUGCUUUAAUAAUAUUGAUGCAAACGAAAGAUCGGCAGAGGAGCUGAGG